rnacentral:rRNA from 1 species
AUGAUCACAAUGGCUAGACCAGAUGAGGUGGUAUUUCUGUGGUCACAUCGAGUGAUGGGAGAUCACCAAAUAGCUGAUAUCUUGGCGAUGGAAGGAGCUGGGAUCAGAAAGCAUAUCAUCGUUGACAACUUCAUUAGCAGGUAUGGCUCAUAUGAUAAGUGUGGGUUUCUGAGACGAGACGUGUACAAUCUAUGUUGCCGAGAAAAAAUGAAGCUGAUUCCGAAGGGUGAUGCUAACACGGCAAUCGGGAUUAUGAGGAGCAGAAAGGAGAAGGAUCCAGAGUUUUUCUUUGAGUACGUGCUCGAUAAGGAGGGCCGUUUGAAGAGCAUGUUCUGGUGUGAUGCACAGUCGCGGCGGGACUAUCAAUUGUAUGGAGAUGUGACGGUGUUCGACAGCACGUAUAAGAUGAACAGAUAUGGUAUGCCGUUCAUCCCCUUUGUUGGUGUAAACAAUCACCGUUGCACCUUAGUUUUUGGUUGUGCCAUUGUGUCCGACGAGACCGAAGCGACGUACGUGUGGCUGCUUCAGACAUUCCUGAAGGCCAAUUGUCAGAAAAAGCCAAGGUCAAUCAUCACAGAUGGAGACGCUGCAAUGAUACGAGCUAUUCGGUUGGUUUUGGUUGAUGUGUUGCACCGUCUCUGCUCAUGGCACGUGGAAAAAAACAUGCAGAAGCACCUUAAUUACAAAUCGCUAAGUGAGUUCAGGGCACUCUUGUACUACUCCACCUCUCCAGCCAACUUUGAGGCGAGAUGGCACGCUUUCGUCCGUAAAUGGAAGACUGAUAAAACAGAAGAGUGGCUGAGUAGGAUGUACAGGAAGAGGAGUAUGUGGGCAGCAUCAUAUCUGUCAGAUGGUUUUUUUCUGGGUAUGCGCAGUAAUCAAUGGAGUGAAAGUCUUAACUCUUGUCUUCACCUGCACUUGGACGGCGCUUUGACUAUUGUUGACCUAGUUGUGCAUUAUGAGAAUUGCAUAGUCCGACUACGUGAGAAUGAGGUGCAUGAUGACUGUGUUUCAAAUCAGUCAUUGCCACCAUCAGUCACAGAUAUAAGGAUAUUGAGAAGCAUGCCGCCGAAGUAUUCACUCAUUCCAAUUUUUAUAUUCUUCAACAAGAUCUGA